rnacentral:lncRNA from 1 species
UUUUAUAUGAAUGGCAAUCUAUACCCAUUAAUCCAUGGUCUUAGUGUGGCAAGAAAAUAAUGGACUACUUGCAUAUUCAAAAAAGUAAAGUAGCAAACAAAUGAUCAUAUGCGUCGAAAUGCUUAAAACUCUCAAAUAAAUCAAUCCCAUGAAGGAAUGUAUUGUCCCUCAUUCACCAACCAUUUACAAAUGUUCUAUGGAGGCCUUCGAAACUGCUGUUGAUAUGGAUCAAAAGAAAACAGUGACUAGACUCUUGGAAGUAAUUCAUAAUCUAUAUUCUACAUAAUAUUAAGAUGGCAGUAUCACAAAUGCUACAAAUGGAAAGGUAGCUGAACGUGGCGUUAUGGGAUUUUUAUGGGAUUUUUAUAGUAAGGUCAUGGUUCGAGUCGUCUCUAACUCUUCUGAAAAUGAGGAGAAGGUCUACGACCAACACCGUGUCUAAACUAUUAGUCUCAUUAAAUCAAAACAAUUGCAUAUUAACCAAUUCAAUAAACUAAUACUUCUAAAACCUAUCGGUAUUUUCCAAAUCAUUAACAAUCAACCAAAGUAAAAACAAUUUUUGAACUAGAACUACGUAAGCCUUGAUCCCCUUAAUAGGGGUACGUAGGACCAAAGUCAAUAUUGUCAGGCUCAAUAACAAAAAUUAAUAAUUCUAAAUAAAUAAUUGUUAAGGGUAUAAAAGUCCAUGUUAUUAACGAGGGUACCGUUUUAAUACGGGCGAAUGGGGUGCUAAUACCUUCCUCGAUCCGUAAUCGACUCCUGAGCUCAGAAUCUCUGUCUAAAGACCAUUUUAUCCUAAUUGGGCUUACUAUAGAGUUUUCUACGUUUUAACCGCAAAAAACGUAGUGGCGACUCCAAAUCAAUCGGAAGGGGUAGAAAUCAAGUUCGCCUCUUCAUAAGUCGUAUAGCCGGUCUUCCAACCGAAAAGCGGGUCGCGAUAGCUGACGACUCCACUGGGGAAAACCCGUAAGAGAGUCAGGCCUAGAACCGCUAAUAACAUGGACUUAAAUACCCUUUUGUUUGUUUGUUUCUAUUUUGUGUUCUUUCUUUAGAACGUUGAAUUAUUAUCUAAAACUAUCUUGUUUAUUAUUUGCAAGUUCUUCUGAUUAUUUUUUGCAGCUUAUUGGGGGUGGGAAUUUUUUUUAAGGUUUGUAUGCUUCCUCACACACUAACGUUGUACACUUGAGUUUGCACACACAUAUGCCCUGACCCGGGUAUUAGUGAUUAGGAUUUGAGAUAGAAGGGACAUAUGCUUUACUGGUAAAUGACUUCGAGUCAUAUAUGGUAUUGGCGGAAUGGACCACCCAGAUCGUUCCCGGUAUCCUGAGUUAGCGGCUUGGAGGGCUCGAUCCUGCUCGUUUAUAGCCCAUGAUAUUUGGUUUCCUUUCUUUCGAGAUUGGAUGCGAUCUGAUGACCUAGGAGUCUGAAGUUCUUACCGUGUCCACAUUAAUCAAGACUUAGUACCCUCACCAUAGGGUUGUGACCUUUAGACUAUCCAGAACCUUAUAAGUGUACCUUCUUUAGGACACGAGAAGCAUAACCCAAACUUUAUCCUUCACAAUUUAUAAAUUGGGACUUUUGUCCCUAAAAAGUCCUCGUGCUUGAAUGUUUCGAGGAUGUCAUUGCACUUUGACGUCCUUGUGUCAUAAGGAUGCCUAAAUAAUUUCUAUUCCUUACCAUGAGCUAAGCGCCCUAGGGAUAAUUUUUCAUUCCCUAGCAUCGGCUAAGUGCCCUAGGGAUAAUUUUUUUUUCCAUUCCUAUCAAUGGGCUCAUGGCCCUAGGGAUGUGUUCUCUUUCAUCUGAAUAAGCUCACAACUUUAUCAUUUAACUCAAGAAUUGGCCUAAACAAUAUAAUAGGUGUCAAAUUCAUCAUGAUAUUUUAUUAUAUUGUAACUAAGGCUAUAUUUCCCCUAAAUAAGGUAUCACACUCUAGGGGCAUUCAAAAUGCAUUAGCACCACUAUAUCAAGUUCAUGCAUGUCAUGCACUCAUACAUUCAACGAAAUAUACAUCAUUAAAAAAGUUCAUAAAAAAAAAUAAAAAAAAAUCAUUCAUCUAUACAUGCACAAUUCAUACAUUCAUCAAAAUAUACAUCAUUCCAAAAGUUAUAUCAUUCAAACAUUCGUCCAUUCAUAUAAUGAGUCAAAAGUCAAAAUAUCAUUCACUCAUUCGUUCAUCCAUUGAUACAUAAAUUCAUAAAAUUUAAAAUUCGUAAAUCAUUCAUUCACGCAUUCAUACAUACAUUCAGAAAAUCAAAAAGCAGAAAAUAAAAUUUCAUCACUCAAAUAUUCAUCAAAAAACAAAAAAAUAUAUCAUGCAUCAUUCAAACAUUCAUAAAAAAGUCAACAUUCCAACAUUCAUACAAGAAAUCAAACAUUCACUCAUCUAAUCAUACAAAAAAUAUAUCCUCUACUCAUGCAUGGAUUCAUCAUAAAAAAAUCACUCAAACAUUGCAUUUCAUGCACUAUCACAUAUUGCAUUUCACACAUCAUACAUUAUCUAAGAAGUAAAAAUAAAGUGAUUCAUGCACUUUCAUCACUGACUAAAAAACAAAGCAAAAAAUCAUUUGCAUUUUCAUGCAAUAGCAUACCAUGCAUUUCAAUACACAAUUGCAUACACCACCAAAAUCCAUACUCCUAAGCCUCAUACUCAUAUCAAAAUUUAUAUCCUUACAAUGUCUUUCAAUACCAUGCACCAUCACAACUCUCAAAAAACCAUCCUAACACAAAUAAAAUACAUUUUCCUCAACAAACCCAAAUAAAGUCACAUCACCAUUGCUUCUAAGCACCCUUAUAACAAUCGUCCUCAAUAAAGACUCAUGACAUAAUCAAAUCGAGAGAAUCAAGUCAGAGUUGGCAGUCCUCGAGGAACUCAUGAGUCAGAUCAUAUUUUGAAACCCCUACUGCUCUCUCAAAGGCUUGGCGUCAUCAAACAACGAGAUCCCAUGUCUCCAUUUCAAGAAGAAAGUUGAUUUUUGAUUGCAUAUAUUUUUCAGAAGAACAUACUAAUGCAUUGAUCAUGCGAAUUUACCAUCUCAUACUUCAUUCCACAAAUCUCAUUCCAACAACAACAACAACAACAAAAAAAUCAAAAACAAAAUUUCAUGCAUUAAUGUGAUAUAUUUGAUUCAAUGAUUUAAAUGAAAUGGAGGAUGAUGCAAAUGUAAGACCCAUAAUGGUGCAAAUUCUUAGGCAGAUUUUUCUGAUGACACAAGCCAUCUUUGAUAAUCCCAAACACUAUGAAGAUAUCCAUAGUCACCCAUUUGAGCUCUAGGCUUUAUGAAAGGAGAUUUUUUCUAAAAAACCCGCAAAAUAUCAACAACCUUGGGCAGGGUAGUAUCUCAACUGUUUUUCUUGACAUUUAAUUAUUAAGAAAUAAAUAUACUCUACCAUUUCCAAAUCUAACUUGAGGGUAAAAAAAAUCCUAAGCAAUUCAAAUAAAAAAGUUCAUCGGUCAAAGUGCGAAAUAACAUAAAAAAAAUAAAAAUAAAAAAACAAAAGGAAAAAUAUACAAAAGACCCGCUGAGAACCCUUAAUAAAAAUCUCAGGCAAAAGUUAGGGCCAAUAAAGUGCACUAUUAAUGAUCGCAAAAAGGAACAAUUCAAAUACCUCUCGGGAAGAUUAUCGCCUAAAUAUUAGGCCUUCACCUAUUACAUCACAAAAAUCCAACAAAAUCUUAGUACCUGAAUGUCAUGUCAGAAAAUCGUUGAAAAUAGGAGAAUGGAGAAAGAAGAAUGAAGAAAGGGGUUUGGGAAACACAUUUUGAGCCUUAUCCUUCUUUUUCUUGAAAAUCCUUAGCCAAGCCACGAUGCAAGCUCAAAAGACCUUGUUGAAGAUAUGAUUUGCCUAAGAAAUGUACUAGGGCAGAGAAACGCUGACUCCAAUAAAUAGCAUAAAGUUUUGAUGAAAAUAUCUCAUUUUAAUGCAUUGGAUUAAAUCUCAAUCUCUCAUCAUCAUCACAACCAUCACAUCAACACACAAAAAUCAAAUUUGCAUGAUCAUUGCUUUUAGUAUUUAUUUUUAAGGAGUUGUGCAUAGGAAAAAUACACUCAGGUGGGAAUCAGAAGAACGAAUGUCAAUCCAAACUGGGGCAGUUUAUGGUGGUUGAUCUCAUUCCUCGAAUGAAAGUACCAAGAAACCUAUACUUGGGGCAAGGUUGAAGUCGCUUAUCAUGGGUCAGUCCAAAAUGCCUCAACCAAGAAGAGGCGAGAUCUUCAAGGGUGACUCAUACUUUCAUGCACUUAUGAUGUUCACUUGAGGGUGUUCAAAAUUAGCUGGAAAAAAAAACAAGCAAAAAAGAAAAAGAGCGUUAGGUUGAAAACCCGCAAGGGUGGCCUAAAAAAGGAGAGCAAUGAUAAGUCGAAAACCUUCAAUGACGACUUAGUAUCAUAAUAAAAUGAGAGAAUUCCUGACAGGUACCUACACUAGGUAUUCUGGGCAAAAAUUAAGGAAAAGAAAUGAACACCCUCAAGUGAAAAUUCAUUAUUGUAUAUUCUCAACCAUGCAAACCAGGGUAGUUUUUUGAAGUGAGAGUCAUAACCUCUAUUUAGAAAAAUUCUCAUCAAGAUACUGGGGCAGUUUAUUGGACGAUCUGACUCUUCCAAUAAACUCUUGACAAGACACUGAGGCAUUUAAUUGAUUCACUUACCAUAAAUUGGGGCAGUUCUUCAAAGGAUCAAAGUCAUAUCAAAGAGCAAGAAAAUCAUCAACAAAUAUGUCAACUAAAGCCAAUCAUAAAAAGGUUGUGAAACUGAGAAGUUUUAAGGGUGCUGGAGAGCAGUUUCGAGUACAACUGAAUCAAAAAUUCAAAUCCAAAUUUUCAAACAAAAAAAACUCAAUGUCAUUUCGAGCUACCAAUUCAAUAAUUCUGGUUCAUACACCACUUCAACAUGUAAACAUAACCGAAGGUCAUACAUCACUACGUCAUGCAAACUAAACCAAAUUUCAUACAUCACUCAAGACAUACAUACAUAUCACUAAAUCAAGUCAAAGACAUACUCUCGUACGUACAAAGCAUGCAUCAUUCUUGUAUAACCAUCGCAGGUGGUCAAUCAUAUUACUUUCCACACUAAAACAUUGUCGGACUCAGACGCCGAAAUGUUAUGACGUUGCUAGACUCAGACGCUAGAACGUUCUUAAAUGAAAAAACAUUGUCGGACUCAAACGCCGAAAUGUUAUGACGUUGCUAGACUCAGACGCUAGAACGUUCUUAAAUGAAAAAACAUUGUCGGACUCAAACGCCGAAAUGUUAUGACGUUGCUAGACUCAGACGCUAGAAAGUUCUUGAAAAAAAUAUUGUCAGACUUAGACAUCGCAUUUACUUUUAUUGUCUCGAGUUCCGGCAGUACCCGACCUGCGUUCUCGUUUUAAAAUUAUGCUUACCAGGACCCCAAGCCUGAUGUGCUUUCAAUCAAUCUUUCCAGGACCCCGAGCCUGAUGUGAAUUUCCGAGUUCUGGCAGUACCCGACCUGCGUUCUCGUUUUAAAAUUAUGCUUACCAGGACCCCAAGCCUGAUGUGCUUUCAAUCAAUCUUUCCAGGACCCCGAGCAUGAUGUGAAUUUCCGAGUUCCGACAGUACCCGACCAGUGUCCUCGUUUCUAAGGUCGAGUUAUGAUCAUUUGUCUCGGCCUUGACAAAUUAGCAUUCAUUUCUUUACUAGUUACUUACUAUGAUAACACACAAACCUCAGUUUGGUUGCUAUAUAGUAAGCAAUAAGUAAAGAGGGGCAGCUGUGAACACUCAAUUNNNNNNNNNNNNNNNNNNNNNNNNNNNNNNNNNNNNNNNNNNNNNNNNNNNNNNNNNNNNNNNNNNNNNNNNNNNNNNNNNNNNNNNNNNNNNNNNNNNNUGCUCACAAGGUUGUUAGAGUCAAAACGUGAGUCUUCACAUUUUUAUAUGAAUGGCAAUCUAUACCCAUUAAUCCAUGGUCUUAGUGUGGCAAGAAAAUAAUGGACUACUUGCAUAUUCAAAAAAGUAAAGUAGCAAACAAAUGAUCAUAUGCGUCGAAAUGCUUAAAACUCUCAAAUAAAUCAAUCCCAUGAAGGAAUGUAUUGUCCCUCAUUCACCAACCAUUUACAAAUGUUCUAUGGAGGCCUUCGAAGCCGCUGUUGAUAUGGAUCAAAAGAAAACAGUGACUAGACUCUUGGAAGUAACUCAUAAUCUAUAUUCUACAUAAUUUUAAGAUGGCAGUAUCACAAAUGCUACAAAUGGAAAGGUAGCUGGACGUGGCGUUAUUAUUGCAGGGUGUCCAGAAUGGGAGCCAGGUCCUAAUCAUGCUUUGAGUAAAAUCCUCAAUUCAUCAGCAGCACGUGGUGUACCUUCAACAACACUUCAAAUUACCAAGAGCAUGGCUCUUUAUUAGCCACGUUCAGAACCUGAUAUCAAGGGAAACCAAAUGUCAGAUAAAGUAUAUACUCUACCACUGCAGGCUGUUAC